AUUCCGGUUCUGACUUUCAAAUUAAAAUAGGAGUAAUGCAUAUUUUUUUAACUGAGGGAAAAUACAGACCUGUGAUCAAAGUAGUUUCAGGUAGACGUAAUAUAUGACUUAUUGCAAGAAAUAAUAGCAACAUUUGUGAAGGGAAGUUUACUGUUACAUUCUCCACCAAACUCUUGUUUUGAAAAUCCUCUUUCUCCCUUUAUUUGGCAUCACUCAACAACAUCGACUAAUGACAGGCCAGAACGCAGUCAAUGUUCUGCAGGUUGUGCAAAAAGACAGGAACGAGCGCCCUCUUGCGACUUCUUUUUGUAGUAAUGAAAUUAACUUUUACUUAUUCCGGACAGUACUGCAUACAAUAAUAUUGUCCAUUUAUAGCUGACAUUGGAGGCCCUAAAAUAUAGUUAAGAUACAAUACAAAUGUAAUUAGUUUUCAUCUAAGAUUGAAAUGAGCGACACUGAGAGAUCAUCCAACACUAUCAUUAAAACAUGUGUAGACGUUAAAGAAUUAUACGGAUUAUAAAUACAUUAUAAAGAUUAUGUAUUUUAGAGGACUACAUGUUCAUAUAGACACGUUAUUUAUUUUAUUGCAAUUGGUUGUAGUUCUUCUAAUGUCCAGUUGAGGGAGACGCAGGACACACAAUACAGGCAAAAGCGUUAUUGGUACAUUUGGAUUUACAUUUUUGGAAAUUCCUGAAUUUUAUACUUAUAAAAUACUAUUGCUUUAGAAUAACAACAAAACAACACUGAAAAUGUAUCAAAAACUUCUGCAUUUCGCUUCUUGCUGAACGAGUCAGACCAGCAGGCAGAUGCUCUGUAAAAUUAUUCAAAAUAUUUCUCAUAAUAGACAUUCACCAUAACAAUUUAUCCCAAUAUCAAUGUUUGUUUUUUUUCUGGUUCCAUAGAGGUUUUUAACAUUUAACCAUUUUAUUUUAUUUAUUUACCCCUAUCAUGUUAUCUUAUGUCCCCAUCUCAUCCUGAUGAGAAAUUGGCCAGUAUAUUUAUUUACACAAGGCUGUGGAAUUGACUCCUCCCAGGAUGAGGGUUGUGAAUUGCAUCAAAGUGUGUCUUCCCGCAAUCUCACGGGAAGUGGGGGAAAAUGUCAAAAGCAACACUUUGUCCCAAGUAGAGUAGAGUGACCUGAGCUGAGCAGAAAGAUGUUCUCCGCUCUUAAGGCAUGUUCACAGAGGGGCUCCAAAGUGAUGAAAGGCUUCCAGCAGGAUCACAGGGCAAUCAUCCAUCACAAGGCACCUAAAGACAAGAUCGGGCCAGUGCAAUCUGUGUUGGCCAUCUGUGUGUUUGCUGCGGCUCUGCUGGCCCCAGCUGGAUGGAUCUUGCACCAUAUCCCACACUACCGGCAGAAAUCAUCUGCACCAUGAUUGACUGUGGAGCUUCUUGCCGUCCGACCCAGAAGGAUUUGGAUGAUAAAGUUUUGAUGAUUUCGUCCUUAAACAUAAAAUAAAAACAUAUCUCAAUAAAACAAUGUGCAUUUGAA